GACGAACGCUGGCGGCGCGCCUAACACAUGCAAGUCGAACGGAGUCAAGAGGAGCUUGCUUUUCUUGACUUAGUGGCGCACGGGUGAGUAACGCGUGAGUAACCUGCCCUGGAGUGGGGGACAACAGUUGGAAACGACUGCUAAUACCGCAUAAGCCCACGGAUCUGCAUGGAUCUGCGGGAAAAGGAUUUAUUCGCUCUAGGAUGGACUCGCGUCCAAUUAGCUAGUUGGUGAGGUAACGGCCCACCAAGGCGACGAUUGGUAGCCGGACUGAGAGGUUGAACGGCCACAUUGGGACUGAGACACGGCCCAGACUCCUACGGGAGGCAGCAGUGGGGGAUAUUGCACAAUGGGGGAAACCCUGAUGCAGCGACGCCGCGUGGAGGAAGAAGGUUUUCGGAUUGUAAACUCCUGUCGUUAGGGACGAUAAUGACGGUACCUAACAAGAAAGCACCGGCUAACUACGUG
rnacentral:rRNA from 1 species